CACACCUCUGCUCGGGUGGUUUCCGGCCAGGAGCAAGAAGGGUCAAGUCUUAGUUCUUCCUGCUUGGUCCGAUUAUUUACAGUAAGCAGGGGGAUUCGGUUCCGUGGGGACUUCGUUUGGUUCUAGCAGCACUCCAGUGAGCAGUUCCUUUGUUCCAGCAUCAAGAGGGGCUGUGAAUUGAGGACCUUGAUUCGAGACGAGCAUCUCGACGUUCGAGUUGGACCUUUCUAUUUACGGAGGC